UACGAAGGGGGCUAGCGUUGCUCGGAAUCACUGGGCGUAAAGGGUGCGUAGGCGGGUUUUAAGUCAGAGGUGAAAUCCUGGAGCUCAACUCCAGAACUGCCUUUGAUACUGAAAGUCUUGAGUAUGGGAGAGGUGAGUGGAACUGCGAGUGUAGAGGUGAAAUUCGUAGAUAUUCGCAAGAACACCAGUGGCGAAGGCGGCUCACUGGCCCAUAACUGACGCUGAGGCACGAAAGCGUGGGGAGCAACAGG
rnacentral:rRNA from 1 species